GCCUGGUUCAUUGCUGCCAGUGAUGUUGGUGAUCCAGUCCUGAAGAUUUGUAGGUAACAAAGCCUGGUUCAUUGCUGCCAGUGAUGUUGGUGAUCCAGUCCUGGUACUGGGACACACGGG